UACGUAGGGGACUAGCGUUGUCCGGAUUUAUUGGGCGUAAAGAGCGCGUAGGCGGUCCGAUAAGUCGGCUGUGAAAGUCAGGGGCUCAACCCUUGAAAGCCGGCCGAUACUGUCGGACUAGAGUCCGGAAGAGGCAAGUGGAAUUCCCGGUGUAGCGGUGAAAUGCGCAGAUAUCGGGAGGAACACCUGCGGCGAAGGCGGGUUGCUGGGCUGACACUGACGCUGAGGCGCGAAAGCUAGGGGAGCGAACGGG
rnacentral:rRNA from 1 species